AUCCGCUGCCUGCAGGACGACGAGGCCGAAGCUGACGAUGAGGAGGUGGGCGGAGCUUCAGAAACGGGGGGGGCGUGGCCUGCAGGCUUAGCCCCGCCCCCACGGUGCGCUCUCGUCCAAUCAGGUGGAGGCGGCGGCGGAGCUGCGGGAGCAGGCGGGGGAGGGGCUGGUGGCGGUGGGCGGGGCUUCGCCGGGGGGCGGGGCUUUGAGCGACGCCUUCCGCCGAGUCCUGCCCACCCUAUUGGGCUGCCUGGUGAGGGGGCGGGGCUAAAGGGGGAGGGGGCGGGGCUAAAGGGGAAGGGGGCGGGGCUAAAGUUAUGGGGCGGGGUUAUAAGGGAAGGGGAUGGGGUUAGAAGGAAGGAGGUGGGGUUAACUGGAAAGGGGCGGGGUUUAAAGGGAAGGGGGCGGAGUUUAAAGGGAAGGGGGCGGGGCUUGGUUGAGGUGUCCCUAUUUUGGGUUCCUAUGGGGUCUCUAUGGGUCCCUAUGGGGUCUAUGGGGUCCCUAUGGGUCCCUAUGGGUUCCUAUGGGUCUCUAUGGGUCCUAUGGGUUUCUAUGGGUGUCUGUGGGUCCCUAUGGGUCUCUAUGGGGUUCUAUGGGGUCUCUCUGGGUCCCUAUGGGUCUCUAUGGUUCCCUAUGGGUCCCCAUGGGUCUCUAUGGGUCCCUAUGGGUCCCUGUGGGUCUCUGUGGGUCUUUAUGGGUGCCUAUGGGUCUCUGGGUCCCUAUGGGUCUCUAUGGGUCUCUCUGGGUCCCUAUGGGUCCCUGUGGCUUCCUAUGGGGUCUCUGUGGAACACUAUGGGGUCGCUAUGGUUCUCUAUGGGGCUCCAUGUGUCCCUGUGGGUCCCUGUGGGUCUCUAUGGGGUCCCAUGUGUCCUGUGGGGUCUCUGUGGGGUUUAUAUGGUGUCUCAAUGGGUCUCAGUGGGUGUCAGUGGGUCUCUAUGGGUCUCUGUGGGUCUCUGUGGGUCCCUAUGGGUUUCUAUGGGUCCCUAUGUGUCCUAUGGGUUUCUAUGGGUGUCUGUGGGUCCCUAUGGGUCUCUAUGGGGUUCUAUGGGGUCUCUCUGGGUCCCUAUGGGUCUCUAUGGUUCCCUAUGGGUCCCCAUGGGUCUCUAUGGGUCCCUAUGGGUUUCUAUGGGUCCCUCUGGGUCCCUAUGGGUCCUAUGGGUUUCUAUGGGUGUCUGUGGGUCCCUAUGGGUCUGAAUGGGCUUCUGUGGGGUCUCUCUGGGUCUCUGGGUCCCUAUGGGUCCCUAUGGGUCCCUAUGGGUCUCUAUGGGUCCCUAUGGGUCUGUAUGGGUCUCUAUGGUUCACUAUGGGUCCCUAUGGGUCCUAUGGGUCCCUAUGGGUCCCUGUGGGUUUCUAUGGGUCUCUAUGGGGCUCUCUGGGUCCCUAUGGGUCCCUAUGGGGUCUAUGGGAUCCCUAUGGGUCUCUGUGGUUCCCUAUGGGGUCCCUGUGGGUCCCUGUGGGUCCCUAUGGGUCCCUGUGUGUCCCUGUGCCCCAUUUGUGCCCCCGCCCCCCGCUGACGUCGCAGAGCGGCGACGCGGCGCAGCGCUCCUGGGCGGCCGCCAUCUUGGGCGAGGCAGGCUUUUACCUGGACGUGGGCAUGGCCAAGGAGCUCCUCCCUCUGAUUGGCCCGGCCCUCGCUCGAAGCUCCGCCCACGACCCGGACCCGGAAGUGCGCAGCAACGCCCUCUGCAGCAUCGGGCGCCUGGCGGCCAAUGGCGUCGCGUUGGGGGCGGCGUGGCCGGGCCUGGCUGCCAUUGGCCGAGCGCUGCGGGAGGAGGGGCCGGGCUGGGCGCGGGACAACGCCUGCGGGGCUUUGGUCCGCCAUAAGGGGGCGCUGCCGGAUGCGGAACUGCUGGUUCUGCUGCUCCCGGCGCUGCCGCUGACGGCGGAUUUUGAGGAGAAUUCCGCCGUUUUUGGGUACCUGCUGCAGCUGCACGUCCAGCAGGGAUUGGACGCCGCGGCCGCCAUGACACCACCGACUGACCAAUAAAAGGAUGGAGGCCGAGGCCACGCCCCCCUUUGGUUUUAUUCCGCGUGGGCGGGGCUUGGCGAGGGGUGGGCGGGGCCUCGCGGGCCAAGCCGGAUGCCGAUUGGUCCGUAGGGGCGGGCUUGCUCCAGCCGCAGCCAACCGGCGGCGCAGAGAUCUACAAAAGGGGCGGGGCUUAGAGCAAGCCCCGCCCCCAUCCCCAUCACUUAAAUCCCAUUGGCUCCACCCGCCGAAGCCCCGCCCCCAUCCCCCUUACCCAGACAAACCCGGAAGAGCCGCGCCCACAACUUCCGGGGGGCGGAUCUCGGGAGCAGCCCGCUAAGCUCCGCCCCUUCCGGUCUCCCCGCCCCCUCCAGCGCCACCCUAUAGGAACGAAGUGUUUGGGGGGGAGGGGGGCGGGGUCAAACCGCGCCUUAAAGCCACGCCCCCCCAAAAAGCCACGCCCACUGACCGCCGCAACGAAGCCACGCCCACCGGCGGAAGUCCCGCCUCUUCCGGAAGUUCGGGCAGAGGGGGCGGGGCUCUGCGGAAGGAGGGGUUGAAGCCGAUUGGUCGCUCGCUCGAGGCCACGCCCCCCCUCCCGCCGUGGCCACGCCCCCCCCCUGACCUCCAUUCCUCCGCCGGGGUCACGGCGGGGCGCGGCUCCUCGGGGCUCAGCGCCAGGCUCAGCUCUGGCAGCGCCCAGCGCGGGGACACGAGGGGACACGUGGGGACACAUUGCGAUCCACGGGGACACGUGGGGACACAUAGGGACACGUGGGGACACAGAGACCCCAUAGGGACACAUGGGGACACGUGGGGACACAGAGACCCCAUAGGGACCCAUAGGGACCCAUAGGGACACAUUGGGACACGUGGGGACAGAGAGACCCCAUAGAAACACAUUGGGACCCAUAGGGACACACAGACCCCAUAGGGACACAUGGGGACACGUGGGGACACAGAGACCCCAUAGGGACACAUAGGGACACGUUGGGACACAGAGACCCCAUAGGGACCCAUA
rnacentral:lncRNA from 1 species